rnacentral:rRNA from 3 species
UUGAAGAGUUUGAUCAUGGCUCAGAUUGAACGCUGGCGGCAGGCCUAACACAUGCAAGUCGAACGGUAACAGGAAGCAGCUUGCUGCUUUGCUGACGAGUGGCGGACGGGUGAGUAAUGUCUGGGAAACUGCCUGAUGGAGGGGGAUAACUACUGGAAACGGUGGCUAAUACCGCAUAACGUCGCAAGACCAAAGAGGGGGACCUUCGGGCCUCUUGCCAUCAGAUGUGCCCAGAUGGGAUUAGCUUGUUGGUGAGGUAACGGCUCACCAAGGCGACGAUCCCUAGCUGGUCUGAGAGGAUGACCAGCCACACUGGAACUGAGACACGGUCCAGACUCCUACGGGAGGCAGCAGUGGGGAAUAUUGCACAAUGGGCGCAAGCCUGAUGCAGCCAUGCCGCGUGUAUGAAGAAGGCCUUCGGGUUGUAAAGUACUUUCAGCGGGGAGGAAGGUGUUGCGGUUAAUAACCGCAGCAAUUGACGUUACCCGCAGAAGAAGCACCGGCUAACUCCGUGCCAGCAGCCGCGGUAAUACGGAGGGUGCAAGCGUUAAUCGGAAUUACUGGGCGUAAAGCGCACGCAGGCGGUCUGUCAAGUCGGAUGUGAAAUCCCCGGGCUCAACCUGGGAACUGCAUUCGAAACUGGCAGGCUUGAGUCUUGUAGAGGGGGGUAGAAUUCCAGGUGUAGCGGUGAAAUGCGUAGAGAUCUGGAGGAAUACCGGUGGCGAAGGCGGCCCCCUGGACAAAGACUGACGCUCAGGUGCGAAAGCGUGGGGAGCAAACAGGAUUAGAUACCCUGGUAGUCCACGCCGUAAACGAUGUCUACUUGGAGGUUGUGCCCUUGAGGCGUGGCUUCCGGAGCUAACGCGUUAAGUAGACCGCCUGGGGAGUACGGCCGCAAGGUUAAAACUCAAAUGAAUUGACGGGGGCCCGCACAAGCGGUGGAGCAUGUGGUUUAAUUCGAUGCAACGCGAAGAACCUUACCUGGUCUUGACAUCCACAGAACUUUCCAGAGAUGGAUUGGUGCCUUCGGGAACUGUGAGACAGGUGCUGCAUGGCUGUCGUCAGCUCGUGUUGUGAAAUGUUGGGUUAAGUCCCGCAACGAGCGCAACCCUUAUCCUUUGUUGCCAGCGAUUAGGUCGGGAACUCAAAGGAGACUGCCAGUGAUAAACUGGAGGAAGGUGGGGAUGACGUCAAGUCAUCAUGGCCCUUACGACCAGGGCUACACACGUGCUACAAUGGCGCAUACAAAGAGAAGCGACCUCGCGAGAGCAAGCGGACCUCAUAAAGUGCGUCGUAGUCCGGAUUGGAGUCUGCAACUCGACUCCAUGAAGUCGGAAUCGCUAGUAAUCGUGGAUCAGAAUGCCACGGUGAAUACGUUCCCGGGCCUUGUACACACCGCCCGUCACACCAUGGGAGUGGGUUGCAAAAGAAGUAGGUAGCUUAACCUUCGGGAGGGCGCUUACCACUUUGUGAUUCAUGACUGGGGUGAAGUCGUAACAAGGUAACCGUAGGGGAACCUGCGGUUGGAUCACCUCCUU